rnacentral:sRNA from 1 species
GAAAUCCACCCCAUCUCUCACCAGUGGCAGCACUUGGGAAAGCGGGUUCUGCACCUCACCCAGUCAGCACAGUGAAGCCAGUCCUCGCAGCAGCAGUGUAGGUAGACAGCCCUAAGUGUGUGAGUAUGAGAGAGUGGACCCUACCACAGAGGUGAUGUGUUCCCACUGCCCCUUGCUAUCUUUGGCAAUCAGGAAAGUUGCCCACCGGGUCAUAAACUCAGGAGAGCUCUCCUUGUCCUUCAGCAGCUGCAGCACUCAGGAGAGCAGACCCUGCACCUUGCCUGGAUAGCACAGCAGACUGGGGCUGACUGAGGGUGCAGCACAUGGAGAGUGAACCCUACAUCUCUCCUGGGAAGCACUGUAUAGCUGGCCCUGGUGAAGAGGUGGCAGCUGAGCUGGUCCUGAGGAUCAUGGGAAAGUUGGCUCUGCCAGCCUGUCAUGAGAUGAGCAACACAGUGGAGGUGGUCGUGAUGUUGAAGGCAUGAGUAAGCCAUCCCCGAGGGUGGUGAGAGCAGGAGGGCUGGCCUAGCCCCUCACAGGCUGCAGCACUUGGGAGAGUGGGCCCUGCCUCUUGACUAAGCAGCACCGUGGACCUGCCUCUGGAGGCAGGGGUGCAGGACAACAACGGGAUGGUGGAGAGCAGUCCUAAUGAGGAUCCAACAUUAAUGGUGUCACAGAAG